CUGUAGAAAUAGACAAACACCAAAACUCGUGGAAUUCUGUCAGAUAAAUCCCUAAGUCUAGGUGUUGGUUGCAUUUGGAUCCUUUUCUAUGAUUAAUUGAUGGUUAAAUGUGAGCAUUAAGGACCGUCAACAAGCUCCCCCAAGCUUAACCUUUGCUCGACCCUGAGCAAAGAUGGACUCAAGAGUUUCUACAGUGGUUUCAUGCCUUAAAGGUACACAUGCGUUCAAACAAUAUCUCAUCUCUAGGUUAGGGUAAACUGUUAAGAUUUAAACUUACUCAUAUUACCUUCCACCAUGGGGCUUGCAACCGUCACUUAUGUCUUGAGCAAUUAAAAGAUAGAACAGUCUAGUCAAGCGCCAUGUCUCUUGUUCUUCGAUUAACUAUAGCUCUGGAGUUUUUGCAGAUUUUCAAAUAAAUCUCAGAGAUUCCUUGUAUGACUCUCUCUAGUCUCUCUUUUGUGGUAUUUCUGGAUCCUUACCAAGGCAGUAAUGGUGUAUGCCUUCUCUCAAAUUAUGUGGUAUUUGUGGUAUGAAGCAUAGUGACAUUGCCUUCUCUCUCAUCUUACUCUAACAAGGCUUUUGAUAUCUGGAGCUCAUAGGUGGGAGAUAAAGUAUACAUACUUAUAAGACAUUGAUUGCAUAGUCAAACCAUGGAUCCAGAGAAACAAGUCAAUAAGUGAAAUCAAGAUUUACAUGUGCGGCGAAUAAAUGGUGAUAAUGGUGAAAAUAAUGGUGAAAGUCUAAUUCUACUUUUGCUCUUUUGAGGGGAUACAUACCUUCCUUGCUCUUUUGAAACUUUUGGGGAGAAUGAGAUGCUCUAUAUUUUUUUUUCUUUCCUCUCAGGUGGGCAUCUUGUACCCCUAAUUCUACUAUCGGACACUUGUCCAUUUUUACCUCUCGUCUCACUUUUUAUUUUCUUUCGAGGUUCCGAGCACUUGUCCCUUUUUAUUUCCUCGUAUCUUUUUUUCUCUCUUUUUUUAGAGCACUCAUCUCUUGAAAUAAUGUAGCGAGUGGUAGUAACCAAGAUAACUUGAGCAUUUCUUUCAUAGGGGAAAAUAGAAAUAUUUUUGGCUAUUCUCUCCCGGAUUAGGAGUAGAAUAUUUUUGGGUGGUUCUGGAGAUGGAAAUGGGUGGAUAUAUGUGGAUGCGUACUUCUGGAGUAGAAGCAGCAUGUAUGAGUGAACGUGCAAGUGAAUCUUGAUUUAACCACAUGACAAACUCCUAAGGGUCUACACAGCUUGACCACAAUCAAUGCUCAUAAGCAGUAAAAAGUAAAUGUGUGGCUCAAAGUCUAGCAAGCAUGUAUAUAUGGCUGUGGUUGGAAUUUAAACUCUCAUCAUACAGGAAUUCAUCAUGUGUUAUUUUAAAGAUUUUCAAAGAUAAAAUUCUCCAGUUUUCUAGCAUCUCUAGGAACAGAUAAACAGCAGCUCAACCUUCCCAUAUCAUAUCCGUUAACAACUUAGACUUCAGAUCAAAUUUUCUUCCCACAAGUUCAGGUUUAGAGCAAAACUUAAUUAAUAACAGUCAUGCCUAAACUUGAGAGACAUUUCAAUUUUGAGAACUAGUCAUGGCAGUACAACUAUUCGUCAUUUCCAUGUGAGAGCUUAUCAUGAGGGUUCAUAGAAAACUUUAUUUAUUUAUUUAUUUAGCAAACUAAGCAAAGAUAUAUAUAUAUAUAUAAGCACAAAAUCUUUAUUUGGGUUUUUAUGAUUAUGCAUCUUUUUAUUAUUUAAGUAAAGUAUAAACAUGAGUAGGAACACUUAGCUGGAUAAAUGGGGGUGCUCUCCCCCAAGCUGGAUUUUGACGCAAUUUCUUCUGAUGUAGCUAGCAGGUGGCGGAGGUGUAUUUGAAUGUCUGUUGACGGUCCUUAAGUAUCAAAUUUAAUUAUCAAAUAUACAAAGAAAAGGAUCCAAAUGAAAUCAACAUCUAGACUUGGGGUUUUAUCUGACAGAAUUCCACGAGUUUUGGUGUUUGUCUAUUUCUGCAGGGGGUUAUCAGGAAAUACGGAAGAAAGGCCCACACGUCGGGAUAACAUAGAGAUAUUAACGUGCCGCGCAAUUAUCUUACAUCUAGAAGACUCCAGAAGCCACGGGAAGGAAGCAGACGCCGAGAGGGGCCAGAGGCAGGGCGCCCGCCCUGUUUCCCUAGGCGCCCGCCCUGACUUGGAGCCCAAUCAGGACUCUUUCUCUCGGGAGAUCUCCACCGACCUAAAGGAUCAAGAAUAACCGUUCAAUCAAUGUCGGUUUGAUCCGACGGCCCAGGUUCACUUGAGGGGACUAUAUAACCAGACCCCUGGCCCCUAGAGGAGGCACCCUUGAUCAUUAUUCAUUAUUCAUAGACAGAGCAAAAGCUAGGGUUUGGAGAUGAGAGCUCUCCUCUCUUCUCUAAACUAGAGUAGAUCUAGAUAGUAGCAAGAUGGAGAGCGAAGGAGGAUUAGAGGAGAGGUCGGCCUGUCGGUCUUCCUCGGGUUGUACUUCGUCAUGAUCAAGCUCUAAUCAAGCUUGCUCAUGGGAUGACUCUGGUAAUCUACUUCUAAUUCAUUAUGCAAUUACUAAUCAUGUAUGUUCUGGUUCACAACUCUUUUGAGUACUUCUAAUCUAUAGGACGCUAUAGGUGAGAGUUGUAGUAUAGGUGUAAGCGAGGUGCUUAGACCUAGAUUACUUGUGGAUAUCCCCUGUCUAGCUGGAUUGUGUGGUAGACCGCGUAGGUGAUAGUUACGUUGGUCCUCUGUAGUCCACCUCUCAUUAGCAGGACGGGUAGGGUUUAUUGGCCUAAGGAUAAGCAUCCUUUGUGGUGUACUCUUAUCACGUGGUUCGUCCCAGACAUAGACAUACCCCUUUGAAGUAGAGAAACCAUAGUUAUUCUCUCUAUUCUGCUACCAUCGCCCAUAUACUUAGAAUUGCUCUACUCUCUAUUCCCAUAUUAUCACCCAUUGUUAUCUUACCUUUAAUAUUGUUCUUAUUCAAUUCUACCAUCUUUCCUAUUCACACCUAUCUAUCUAUCUUGGUUAAGUUAGAGCGUAGUUGGUUCUCCCGUUUCCCUGUGGAUACGAUAAAACCUUUAACCGGGUAAAAGCUUCAAUGGUAUCCGUGCGCUUGCGGAUUAUCUGUGUGCGUAUAAAUACCAUAGUACACUCUAGUGCCAUGCUGGGGAUGACAACCUAGUAUUCAAGUGGUGUUAGCAAGUGUCAACAAUGUCGGCAGCACCCUGACAGCGAUUAGGAUGUCCUUCGUCUGCUAGUAUUCUUUGAUCCUUGAAUUCUGUGGAGCUCAAAUAGACAACAAAGCUUUGUGGAACUAGUUAAGUGUUAGCAUAAAUAUCUAGCCUUUAUCAUGUUGAGCCUCCUCAAUAAAUGUUACUCUCUUUAGUAGGAUCAUAAAUUUAUUUUUGUAUUUUUAGUUUUAUAGGACAAGAAUAUAUUUAUUUCAUUUUUACGCCACCACAGUAAAUGUACUUAUGGGUUUUAUGCCAUGAGCAUACUCACAUGGGGCUUACUAUUUUUAACAUUUUUAUUUUCUUUUCAAGAUGAUAUAAACCUGAUUAACUAAGCAAACUAUUUUAAAUAAUUUAAAGGAAAAGGAUAACUACCAAGUUUACCUCUUGGCAUGGCGUUUAGUGUUUUUAAGUCCUCCGAACGGGACUCUCCGUUUUCUCAGUCGUCCUAGGAUUCUGGCGGAUGGCUGUUGGGUAUUCUUAACAUCAUUACCAAAAGUAGACUAAGUUCUCUAAAUCUAGUAACGGUGCCAAAAAUGCCAAACCUAUCCCUCACACCACUUAAGCCAAGUUGUCAUCCCCAGCAAGAUAUAAGAGACACGGUAUUGAAAUAUGCAAUUGCUCUUCUAAAUAAAUAAUGAAUUGGAUCUGCAAGCGCAUAGAUUAAUACCGAUGUAGCAUUUUAACCGGGAAGUAUUCCAGGUAUCGUUAUUUAUAUUUUUACCACUGGGAAGGGAUUAGCAAUCGUCACUAAUGAUUACAGAAUAGAAUAUGAGAUUGAGCAUCUAUCAUUGCAUGUAUAAUUGAGAACAUUAUAUCUAACUCUUCAUACAGGGAUAAGUGUCACAUAAAAGAUAUAUGAAAUAAUAAUAGUGACAAGGAUAACUAAUCUGAUCUAGCCACAUAAUAAAUAUGAUAAGCACCUCAAUUAGAUACUCUAGAAAGUCAUUAGCAUGGUAUUAGAACGAACUACAAGAAUAUUCCCUAAGUUAUUCUCAACUAUAUAGUCUAGCAUAUCAUAGUUAGUGCAAGCAUACUUAGCAAUCAUUGCGAGACAAGACUAAGCCCAUGCAUAGUGAUAUUAGCAAGGAAUAUGAGAAACAUAGCAAUCACUCCCCUGUAAUAAUGUUGCUCUGCCAGCCCAAUACAUGAGAGGGGGACUAUAUAAGAAUCAAUGAAGCUGUCACUAUCACGAACCACCCCACGAUCUGCCAUAUUGGGUACAAUCGCAGAUAAAUACGGUAUAAGCACCACGCCUACACAAUAUCUUUCAUUUACCCAUGGAUCCGAUGGAUAAACGCUAUACGAUCCUAAGCAUGUAUAUAGAUCCAAUCUAACUAAGCUAAGUACAUAACUAUGAUAAACUAAGAACAAUAUAAUCUUGAAUAUAAGCAAGUAGAGCAAAGUCAUAAGCAAUAUAUUGAAGUAGAACAAAGUCAUAUUCAUAAUAUUAAAGAACAAAGAUAAUUAGAAAGUAAUUAGAAGCACAAUUAGAGAAUUACCAAGAAUCCUCCUGACAGAUCCGGAAACCAAUCGAAGAUUGACUCCUUCUAGUUCUAAUCCUAUGUAGCUAUGCUAAUCUAGAUAUCUAAUUGAUGUGGUGGCUCUAAUCUUGAUCAAAGGCUUCUUCUCCCUUGAUGGAACAAUGAAUUAGGGUUGAAAGGCUCUCUCCUCCAGGGGCCAGGGGGUCUGGUUUUAUAGUCCCUUCAAUGAGUAUGGGCCCUUGGAUCAAACCGACAUAGAUUGUAUGGUUUAGAUUCAUCCUUUAGGUCGGUGGAGACUUCCCGCAAAGUAGAGUCCUGAUUGGACUUGGGAGCAGGGCGGGCGCCCAGUAGGACAGGGCGGGCGCCCUGUCUCUGGCCCCGAUUCGCCUCCACUUCGGUCUCGUGGCUUCUGGAGUCUUCUAGAUGUAAGAUAAUUGCACAGCACGUUAAUACCUUUACGUAAUCCUGACAUGUGGGCCUUUCUUCCAUAUUUCCUGAUAACCCCCUGCAGAAAUAGACAAACACCAAAACUCGUGGAAUUCUGUCAGAUAAAACCCUAAGUCUAGAUCUUGAAUUCAUUUGGAUCCUUUUCUUUAUUUAUUUGAUAAUUAAAUUUGAUACUUAAGGACCGUCAACAAACUCCCCCAAGCUUACCUCUUGCUCGUCCCUGAGCAAGGAUAGACUCAGCUAUGGAUCAUAAGUUGUUGCAAUAUUUUUAAAAAAAUAGACGGGACACAUGCUUUUAUAUAAGAUCUCAUCUCUGAGUUAGAGUAAACUAUCAAGACUUAAAACUUACUUACUUUACCUCCACCAUGGGACUUGUAACUGUCACUUCUGUCUUGAGUGGUUAAAAGAUAGAACAGUCUAGCCAAGUGCCAUGUCUCUUAUUCUUGAUCAGCUAUAGCUCUGGGGUUUUUGCAGAUUUUCAAAUAAAACUCAGAGAUUCCUUGUAUGAUUCUCUCAGAUCUCUCUUUUGUGGUACUUUUGGAUCCUUACCAAGGCAUUGAUGGUAUAUGCCUUCUCUCAAGAUAUGUAGUAUUUGUGGUAUAAGGCAUAGUGACAUUGCCUUCUCUCUCACCCUACUCUAAUAAGGCUUUAAUAUCUGGAGCUCAUAGGUGGGAGAUAAAGUAUGCAUACUUACAAGACAUUUAUUGCAUAGUCAACCCAUGGAUCCAAAGUAACAAGUCAAUAAGCCAAAUCAAGAUGUGCAUGUGUGGUGAAUGAAUGGUGUAUGGUGAUAAUGGUGAUAACAAUGGUGAAAACAAUGGUGGUGGAAGUCUAAUUCUACUUUGCUCUUUUGAGGGGAUACAUACCUUCCUUGCUUUUGAUUUAUGAGGAGAAUGAGAUGCUCUUCUUUUUCUUGUCUCUCAGGUGGGUAUCUUGCACCCCUAAUUCUACUGUCGGACACUUGUCCAUUUUUACCUCUCGUCUCAAUCUUUCUUUUCUUUCGAGGUUCCGAGCACUUGCUCCUUUUUAUUUCCUCGUAUAUUUUUUUAUUUUCUUCUUUUUUUUUAGAGCACUCAUCUCUUGAUAUAAUAUAGCAAGUGGUAGUAACAAGAUAACUUGAGCAUUUAUUUCACAAGGGGAAACAGAAAUAUUUUUGGUUAUUCUCUCCCGGAUUAGGAGUAGAAUAUUUUUAGGUGGUUCUGGAGAUGGAAAUGGAUGGAUAUAUGUGGGUGGUACUUCCGGAGUAGAAGUAGCAUAUAUGAGUGAACGUGCAAGUGAAAUCUUGAUUUAACCACAUGACAAGCUACUAAGGGUCUACACAGCUUGACCACACUCAAUGCUCAUAAGCAGUAAAUAGUAAAUGUGUGGCUCAAAGUCUAGCAAGCAUGUAUAUAUGGCUGUGGUAGGAAUUUAAGCUCUCAUCAUACAGGAAUUCAUCAUGCAACAUUUUAAAGAUUUUCAAAGAUAAAAUUCUCCAGAAUUCUAGCAUCUCUAGGAACAGAUAAACAGCAGCUCAACCUUCCCAUAUCAUAUCCGUUAACAACUUAGACUUCAGAUCAAGUUUUCAUCCCACAAGUUUAGGUCUAGGGCAAGCUUUAAAUUAUAACAGUUAUAUCUAAACUUGAGAGAGAACUUAGAAUGUGCAAAUUAGGCAGAGCAACUAUUCAUCAUAUCCAUGCUUAAGUUUUUGUUUAGAUACAGAUUAGCAUAGCCACUUUAUUUAUUUAUUAAACACACUAAGCAAAAGACAUAUAUAAGCAUAAAAUCUUUAUUUGGUUUUCCCAUAGUUUAUGUGUAUUUUAAUAUUCUAAAAUAAUAUAAGUAUAAAAAUAGAUAGAAAUACUUAUCGAGGUAAAUGGGGGUGCUCUCCCCCAAGCUGAAUUUUGACGUAAUUUCUCUUAAUGUAGCUAGCAGGUGGCAGAGGUGUAUUUGAAAGUCAGCAGUAUUCUGACAGCGAUUAGAAUGUCCUCCGUCUGCUAGUCUUCUUGAUUCUUAAAUUCUGUGGAGCUCAAAUAGACAACAAAGCUUGUGGAACUGAUUAAAUGUUAGCAUAAAUAUCUAGCCUUUAUUAUGUUGAGACUCCUUAAUAAUUGUUACUCCCUGUUUUUAUAUUUUUGUUUUUAUAAAGCAGAAAAAAAUAUUUAUUUUAUUUUUAUGCCACCAUAGUGAAUGUACUUAUGGGUUUUAUGCCACUCGUCUACUCAUAUGGGGCUUACUGUUUUUUACAUUUUUAUUUUCUUUUAGGAUAGCACGAACAUAAUUAACUAAGUAAACUAUUUGAAAUAAUUGAAAUAAUUGAAAGGGAAAGGGUAACUACCAAGUUUACCUCUUGGCAAGGCGUUCGGUGUUUUUAAGUCCUCCGAACAGGACUAUCCAUUUUCUUAAUCGUCCUGAGGUUCGUUGGGUGGCGUAGUCGGUACUUCCGGUAGCGCCUCCUCUUCAUGUAUAGUUAUCUUCAUUUUCCAUACCUGACUCGGUGCUUCAAUCUCCUCUGGAUAAUUCUGUUUAAACUCCACGUCUUCUGACCUUACAACUUCUCCUUCAUAGUCUGCCCAUCCGUCCUUGAUGAUCUGCCUCCUCUGGUUGCGGUUGCGUCUUUUCUUUACCUGCUUAGAUUCUUCAAUGAUAUAGUUAGGGUCAGUAAAAUAACGGCGUACCUUCUCUGAGGGGAAGUGCAUAUGGACUUUUCCGGUUCCAAUGUAGAUAAUUGCUUUAACGGUGCUGAGGAACGGUCUUCCAAGGAUGAUGGGUGGAUCAUACUCGUCUUCUCCCAUGUCAACAACUUGAAAGUCUGUGUAGACAAAGUGAUCGUCUAUUUUGACUGGGACAUCAGAUACUAUCCCUUGAACUUCUCAAAAUGUCUGAUCUGCCAUCUGGAGCUGAAUGUAUGUUGGUCUUAGUGGCAUGGUCCCGAACAAGAGCCGAUAAGUGACUGCGGCCAUUAUGUUGACGCCCGAUCCGGUGUCGCAAAUCGUCUUGUAGAAGUUAUAUCCAUUUAUGGAGCAGUAGAUGCUUGGCAUUCCUGGGUCGUCCUUCUUGGUCAAAAACGGUGACUUAAGUUGGUGAUCUUGGCCUCCAUGGACUACAGUGACCAUCUUAGCUGACUCGGUCCACACUUGCUUGUUCCUGUUCCUCCUGUUGGUCCUCUUCCCUGAUUCACGUCUGGAUUGAUCUGGAAUUUGUGUAGUCUUGUUCUUGAAGAAAAAUGUCUCCUUCUUCCCUUUGACGUAGAAACUGAUCUUGGCAGCACUAGCGUAGAUGAUAGCUCCCGUGGUGUUCAAAAAUGGCCUUCCUAGGAUGAUAGGUGCUCUCUCAUCAUUUCCGGUCUCAACCACUACGAAGUCUGCUGGGGCAUAUAAAGUACCAACUCGGACACAAAGGUUCCUCACUAUUCCUUUUGGAAAAGUUAUCGUCUGAUCUGCAAACUGCAAACACAUGGUUGUUUCUAAUAAAGGAUAUGUAAAGAAUUUUUCAUAGAGUACCCUGGGUAUAAUGUUGACGCUAGAGCCAAAGUCACAGAGUGCUUCUGGAACGUCC
rnacentral:lncRNA from 1 species